UUUGGAACGAGCUUGAUUGCUCCGAAUUUCAGUGCCUAUCGGACAGCCAGGGAACAUUUGUCCAUUUUUAAGGCAUUAAACUGAGAAGAACCACUGAGGAAAGCAUGCCACGGUCUUUCCCAAAAUCCCUGUGUCUUAAGGAACAACCAAGAAGUUAACUGGUCAGGGAAAAGAUUUCUUUUGGGAUUCAGAAGCCAUCGCUGUGUGCAGAAAUCCAUGACCUGCCCAUGACUUCUACAACCCGGAGGACUUGCCUGACAUUACUGAAAUGCACAGGGGACAGAUUCUGUGGCAGGUGCCGCAUUUUAUCCAGCUCACUCGUGCUAGUUCCUAAGACAUCUUAAUUCUUACACGUACGCAUAAUCGUGAUAUUUUGCCAUGAAUUACAAUAUGUUCCACAAUUAUCGACUAUUUUAAUUUUUAACUUUCUAGCCUGGGACUACUAUAAUAAAAAGAAUUAAUAAAUCCAAAAGUAGUAGUGGAAAAAAUAAAUGUCUCCAGGUUUAUUCCUGUAAAGUUAAUUAGUUAAUACAGAGUGAGGACUCUAAGAGUUUGGGGUUUUUUGUUUGUUUUUGUUUUUUGUUUUGUUUUGUUUUGUUUUGCGUUAAGUAUCAGCAUUAAGUAUCUUCAAGACAAUUCAAAAUAAGAUGAAUCAGAUGAUAAGUCAUUUAGUUGUAAAUUUCACAAAAAUAAUUAAAUACACAGUGUCGGACUACAGCGGAACAGUGGGAAGAACAUUCAGUAUUUGAGAGUAAACAACCCAAAUUAAGAUAAGUUGUUUAGGAAUCUCACAGACAGGAACAUUUUUCUCUCUGGUUUUCCAUGGUAGCAUGUUUACAGUACUUGAAAAAUGUUGCUUUCAAGUCAUGUUAACUGCUUCUUAAGACCAUCAAAUAAGAAAUGAUAUAGCUUAUUAGUUCCAAAAUAGAAAAUCCCAUAACAUCAUUUCCUCUUCAUGUUAAGGUUAAUUUCCAUUAUAAAUAUACCCUUUCAGUAUAAAAUGCUCAACCUCAAAACAUACCAGCUUUUGCCUUUUGAACUAUAAUCCUGAUCCAUAAAUGGUGAUAGAGCUUCAGCUACAUCUCAAACAUUUAUGUUCCACUCUCUUUAUCAAAGAGUGAUUUAUUUUAAGAGAAAAAUUUAUCAAUGUAAGGUAUCUGAAAUGUUCAUUUUUUAAAAAAAGGCUAUAAACAAGUAGCAAGAAGAAGAAUAUGGUUUUCUAUGGGUUACGUUACAUAUCAAAAAAUCCUAAAAUAUUUCAUCACUUUGAUGCACUAUUCUCAAUUUUUAAAAACUCAUUGUCUGAAAGUGAGAUAGAUAUUUUAAUGAUAAUAUGUAAAAAUAAACCAGAUGUACGGUCUUGGAUCUCUGUCGUUGCCUAUAUAUUUAGAUGUCUACCAAAAAAAAUCCAGAUUUUCUGCUUUUCUCAAUCUCAAAUGUUCAAAAUGACUACAUUUUCUAGAAUAUUUACCUAUUGGCUGAUUGUUAUUGUUGAAAAGGAAAUCAAACUAAUUUUGGCAAUAUUGUACCUUACUACAAAUCCUGUUUGUACUAUGAGAGUGGAGAAAAAUAAAAUUUGCAGAAUUCCA